GGAAGGGUACCGAAGCGGUCAUAACGGCGCCGACUCGAAAUCGGCCGGUGGACGAAAGUCCCACGUGGGUUCGAAUCCCACCCCUUCCG
rfam:Candidatus Doudnabacteria bacterium RIFCSPHIGHO2_01_FTLL_49_9 rifcsphigho2_01_scaffold_46184, whole genome shotgun sequence.